rnacentral:lncRNA from 1 species
CUGUAGCCUCCUGCUUAUAAGUGUGGUGCAUGACACACCUAUAAACAAGUCUCUACUAGACACAACUUGUAGACUUCCUAGGAUAGAACUGCUCUGAUACCACUUUUGUCACAAUCCAAACCAAUGGGCCGCGACGGGUACCCGGUACCUUACUCAAAUGAGUACCAAAAUGACAUGUCUUUUCAUGUCAUACUCUAAUAAAUAACUGAGUCAUUGAGGCUACCGUGAAAUAGGUAGAAUACAACAAGUAAUGCCAACUUAUACAUAAUACAUAUGGGACUUUAAGACCAAAAUAACCACUUGAACACUAAACAUAAGCCAACAAGGCCAUACAAUCUUUUACGUACAUGACAUCUGUCUACAAACCUCUAAGAAUACAUAAUUUUCAUAAAGGUCGGGACAGAGUCCCGCCAUACCAAACAAUACAUAUCUAACUCAUACUCACCAAACAAGCAACUCCGAAGCAAAUGUAGCGUACCAACAUUUUCUGCUGAGCUGAUAGCCUACUUCAAGGGCUCUUGACCUGUCUACCAGGACCUGCGGGCAUUAAACGCAGCGUCCCCAAGCAAAAAUGGACGUCAAUACGAAUAAUGUACUGAGUAUGUAAGGCACAUAUAUAAGUGCAUAAUAGACAUGGUGGAAAUAUAGAUUAAAUGACUCCACCUGUAAGUCUGAAUAACUUUGUGAAUGAUGAAAUAAUUAUAGUAUCAUACAUAUGCGUAUGAAUGUCAUGUCGUGCAUAGGUACAUAUUUUAUAACAUCAUCAGCCUCUGAGGCAUCUCAUCGUAUCAUCUUGGCUAUUGUGGGCAAAAUCAUAAAUGUAUAUCAGCUAAUCUGGUGGUGGUGCGUACAUAACGCCAUGACCUUUCCCAUAUCCCAUAUACAUACAUAUAUACGUGUAUAUAAUGCCAUCUCGCCAUAGGUCAAUGUACAUGAAUGCAAUGCGUGAAAAUUAGGUUAAUAAAAUCUUUCAGAAUGUCAAAAGACUAUUUUGCAUUUGAGUAAUAUCAUAAAGUAAACUCUUUUUAACUUUCGUAUUUUUCUGAGACCCAUGAACAGAUGAUAGAAUAAUAUGACACAUGCGGAAUCAAGAAUAUAGGCAUCUCUAAUAUUUCUAUGAAUAGAGUCAUGUAGGGAAAUUGUGCAUUUGCGCGUUUCAUUUUUAUCGUAUGGAUCAUGCCAAAAGAAAGAAGGAACAGCCUUAACAUACCUGGAUCAAUUUAGUUGAUAAUUCCUCUAACACAUGUCUCUUGCGAAUAAACAUGUAAUGGCGAGAUCGGAAUAGGGAACAAUUCUUUUGAAUUGCUCGACGUAAUAAUGUUGCUUACUACAAAAUCAUCUUAAUGAAAGUUUUUCUCAAGAGACAUAAUGUUAUUUUCAUAGAAUACUUGUUGGAAGCUCUUUAGCAAUUCAUUUUAAGCUUAAGAGAGGUAACGUUUCUUUAGCUAUAAAUUUUGAGCGAUUCCUUUUAAACUAAAGAAUGUUAUCUUUGUUUUUAGGUGGGACCUACUUAGGAUGACUAAGCCACUCCAAAGUGUGACAUUUAGGCAAGACUUUAAGAGUCAUCUUCAAUUAAAAGGGAUGGCUGCCACGUUCUUUGCCUUUUUAGGCUUAUCUUAAAGACUUGAUUAUUUACUAUUAUCUUAUUUAACUAAUUAAUCCCUUAUUAACCAAUAAUCAACCAAUUAGCCAUAUUGUUUAGAAUUAUCUCAACUUACUUAAAAUACUACUCACUUUUAACAUACCUUAUACACCUUAGUAUCAUAGUCAUGUAGUACCUUGUAUGACACUAGCCCAUAAAUACCGGUUAUUGUAGCUCAGACCGUAUUUUAUCCCAUAAUGUCAAACUUUGACGAAAUUUAUUUUCUUCGAUUUGCUUACCCUCUCACCUUCAAGAAUUUACUUAAUACUUAUUUGAAAUAGCAUAAUACUUAUAAUCCCAAAGUAAUCUCAUUCCUAAACUUACGUUAAUUAACUUACGACAAAACUUUAACGUACGAAAAUACGGGAUGUAUUAUCUUAUUUCCGAGAUUUCAUUAAUUUUCUUAUGUCGUACUUUUACGUACGAAAACAUGGGGUGUAACGUCAUUCCCCCUUUAGAACAUUCGUCCUCGAAUGUUGACUGAUGCACUUAUCAUUUUCAUGACUUAUGUAUUUCAAAUACUUUAGUACUCUCUUUUCUUCAUUCAUCUGCUUUUCGCGUUGCUCAAUGUCCCCACUCUACUAGGGACGAGAGUCAUACUAAGGUAAUAUUUAUCCCUUCCAGGCUUUCAGUGCCUAUCUUCGAACUUUUUUUUAUCGCACUAGUAUUCUCAUCUAAUUGUAAUAUUUUACGGUACACCAUCUGGGUGUUUGACAAGGAGAUCUAUUAGUACAUUUGGCAUAUCUUUCGGCAAUGUCAACUAACACAAGCAAUCCAUUUACCAAUUUGGGUUACCCUAACCAUAGCCAGAUCUUGAUAUCUCGUCCUUCUCUUAUUAUACCUGUUAGCCCCCACAUGGCAUAACUAAAAUGUGUGUGACCAAUUGUACAUACCUCUAUUACUUUAGAAUAUAAAUCAAAACAAAGACUUAUGUUCCUCUACAUUAUAAGCACGACAAACCUUCAUUAACUAGGCGCCUAGUACCCUUCUUCAUCUUUCUUCUUUUGGUUGUUGAAACUUGUAUUUAUCUUCUUAAUCUCUCAUUAUCUUUCACCAUAAAGAUAAAUAGGCAUUCUUGCCUUAAGGCUUAUUAUCAGGAAGCUUACACCUUUCAGUACACCCAUGAUCUGCUAAAGACCUCACAUUUACUUAUCGUAUGCAUCAUAAAAAAAUUGAAUUCCUCUAACCCAGCUCUUCCACAGCUAUCUCUCUUUCGAACCUUCUUUCCCGAUGUAGGCAUCGUCUUAUUACGAAUAAAAUAGAAUUUCGGAAUUUGAAUUCUUAUAAGUGAGGUCUACCACACAAUCUAGACUAAGAAGAAAGAGUAACAAUCCUAAAUGCCCUGUAGCCUCCUACUUAUAAGUGUGGUGCAUGACACACCCAUAAACAAGACUCUACUAGACACUACUUGUAGACUUCCUAGGACAGAACUGCUCUGAUACCACUUUUGUCACGACCCAAACCGAUGGGGCACGACGGGCACCUGGUACCUUACUCAACCGAAUACAAACAUAACAUAUCUUUUCAUGUCAUAUUAUCAUAGAUAACUAUGUCGGACAGGCUGUCUUGAAAUAGGUAGAAUAUAACAGGUAAUGCCAACUUAUACUUAAGACAUAUGGGCCUCUAAGAACAAAAUAACCACUUGAACACUAAACAUAGGCCGACAAGGGCAUACAACCUUUUACGCACAUGACAUCGGUGUACAAGCCUCUAAGUAUAUAUAAUUUACAUAAAGGUUGGGACAGAGUCCCGCUAUACCAAACAAUACACAUCUAACUCAGAGUAACCAAACAAGCAACUCUGAAGCAAAUGGAGCGCACCAACAUUUUCCACUAAGCUGAUAGCCUACUUGGAGGGCUCUCGACCUGUCUAUCGGGACAUGCGGGAAUGAAACGCAAUAUCCCCAGGUAAAAAGGGACGUCAGUACAAAUAAUGUACUGAGUACAUAAGGCACAUAAAUAAGUGCAUAACAGACAUAUAGGAAAUAUAGAGUAAAUGACUCCACCUAUAAGUUUAAAUAAAUUUUUGAAUCAUGAAAUAAUUAUAGUAUCAUGAAUAUGCGUAUGAAUGUCAUGUCGUGUAUAGGUACAUAUUUCAUACCAUCAUCAGCCUCUGAAAGAAUAACAUUAUAUCAUAUUGGCCACUGUGGGCAAAAUCAUCAGUGUAUACCAGCUAAUCAGGUGGUGGUGCAUACAUAACGCCAUGACCUUUCCCAUAUCCCAUAUACAUAUAUAUACAUACAUAUAUACGUGUAUAUAAUAACAUCUCGUCAUAGGUCAAUGUACAUGAAUGCAAUGCAUGGAAAGUACGUUAAUAAAAUCUUCGGAAUGUCAAAUGACCAUUUUGCCUUUGAGUAAUAUCAUAAUAUAAACUCGUUUCAAAUUUCGUAUUUUUCUGAGACCCAUGAACAUAUGAUAGAAUAAUAUGACACACGGGGAAUCAAGAAUAUAGGCAGCUCUAAUAUUUCUAUGAAUAGAGUCAUGUAUGAAAAUUGUGCAUUUGCACGUUUCAUUUGUAUCGUAUGGAUCAUGCCAAAAGAAAAAAGGAAUAGUCUUAACAUACCUGGAUCGAUUUCGUUGAUUAUUCCUCUAAUAGACGUCUCUUGUGAAUAAACAAUAACGGCGAGAUCAUAAUAGGAACAAUUCGUAUGAAUUGCUCGACAUAAUAAUGUUGAUUACUAAAAAAACAUCUUGAUGAAACUUUUUCUCAAGAGAGAUAACCUUAUUUCCAUGAAAUACUUGCUGGAAGCUCUUUAGCAAUUCAUUUUAAGCUUAAGAGAGGUAAUGUUU